UCAACGGAUCUCUUGCUUGUGGCUGCCAUGAAUAACGCACCCAACUGCGAGAAAUAAUGUGAGUUGCAUAAUUAAUUGAAUCAUCCAAUCUUUGAAUGCACAUUGCGCCCUCCGGUAGUCCGGAGGGAAUGCCUGUUCGAGCGACCUUU
rnacentral:rRNA from 1 species